GACGAACCGUGCGAACGUUAUUCGGAAUCACUGGGCUUAAAGCGCGUGUAGGCGGAUGGCCACGUCGGGCGCUGAAAUCCCCCGGCUCAACCGGGGAACGGGCACCGAUACGGGCCGUCUGGAGGGAGGUAGGGGGGGCUGGAACUUCCGGUGGAGCGGUGAAAUGCGUUGAGAUCGGAAGGAACGCCCGUGGCGAAAGCGAGCCCCUGGACCUUUUCUGACGCUGAGACGCGAAAGCUAGGGGAGCGAACGGG
rnacentral:rRNA from 1 species